CACACCCAUACAUACACACACACAGUGGAUUUAAUCAUAAAAUGUUGAAGGCCAUCCUAUUGGUUGAUCCAGCUCUGCAAGUCGCACGCUGACCCUUUUUCUGCGUCCGCGGUCAGGCGUGACAGUGGAUCCCUACGGCCAGUUUAACGGAAAUUAGCGUCUCAUCCCUUUAAUUUUAGUUUAUACAUUGAGUGGACCUUACCGUCUCCCGGGAUUCAAUGUUAUGUUCUAUGCGUGGCCAUUCGCUGGAGUAGAACGGGGAUUUUGGAAACAGCUCUGCCGCGUCGGUUGAUGCGCCCCCAGCUAUAACUGUGGACCUGCCCUAUGGAAUUUCUUCAUAUUUUCAGACAGCGGCUUUGGGAGGUGAUGAGCUGGCCAAUGGGAGGCAUAAGGGGGCGUGGUCUGCUGAGCGGAAGAACCUGUCCGGUCCCAGAAUGCCCCGGUUUCUAAGACCAAGGGGGCUUCUUUUCCUCGUCUUGUGACCAGGUGUUUUGUUUGGCAAAUUGUUUUGCUAGCGCUUCCAACACCGUUCACCUUAUUGUUAUUAAUCAGAUUUUUGUUUGUUUAAGUAUUUUUCCUUUGUAAUGUUAAUACGUUGUUUUUCAGUUUUAAAGAAAACAGUUGUGUAUCUCCACUGUGCUGUGUCUGUGACCGACUGUAACAUACGGCCUCAAAAUGAUCACAGAACUGAAUCAACACCUCUGUGACCCAGUGUCAAGAAAAACUGUACACUGUGAGUUUUAAAAAUCUGAUAUCUGUAGCAGGGCCACCAUUCAGAAACCACUUGUAUCCCUGGCAAAUGCACAAAGAUGCAGAACUUGGUGUACAAGGAGCAGAAAACCCAACCUAGACCCUUUAGCAAAUAAAAAAGUAAUACACUCUCCCAUCAUAAGGUCCCCAUAUUCCAAGAUGAUGAUGUGCUAUUAGGAAGAGGAGGAGCCCUAGUCCCCUGUUGGUUUCUCUUCCUUUCUUUCUAUUAAAAUUGCUGGGGACCCAAGUGGAGGGGUUGAAAGUGUGUAUGCCCACAGUGGUGAUCUAUUCCAAUAAAUUUGGCCAGACAAACCUGUGCAAAUGAAUUAAUUUUGUUUUGGAGAGACCAAUCGCAAGGACACGGAAGCACUAUGCUCUUUUGAAGAGAUUCUCCAUUUUUUGACUUUCGUGUUUUUUUGGAGUCCAGCCUUGUUGUUCUUUCCAUAAAACAACAUGCAAAAACAAAACUUGAAGGAAUCAAAACAAUCCCAGCCAGCCAGCAGAGAGCAAAGACUGGAAAGAGCUGGACUGACUGAGCUGGGCUGACUUUUACAGCAGAGUGAGGCGUGUAUACUCCGGAAAGCCCACUUCCACAGUUUGGUAUUUCCUAUCCUGUCCUCUUCUCUCCUCUCCUUUCCUCUCCUCUCUGUUUGUAAUUAGGGCACUUCAGGUUAGAGCCCCAUACACACCGCUAAAUAGAUUUGUGAGUGGUUUCAUGAACAACCAUGAUGAUGUUAAACGCUUUCCAUAGCCUUCACAGUCACCAGACCUAAACAUCUAGAUUUCCACCUCUUGCACCCCUCAAAUGGCUGGUUGGCUUUCUUUGCUGGGUCCCAGAAAAAUAUCAGCCAGACAGAGGAUGCACAACCCAGUUCAAUAGUACACACGGUUUUGUUUAAUAUACACACGGAAGGCAGUGAAUCAUCAUACUGUCACAUCAAACAUUCAGUUAAAUGUCCUUAACACUACUUAAUAUGGUUCCUAUGACUUUUUAAUAAGACAGAUAUGUCAGUGCUCGUUGC